rnacentral:rRNA from 1 species
UACGUAGGGCGCAAGCGUUGUCCGGAAUUAUUGGGCGUAAAGAGCUCGUAGGCGGUUUGUCGCGUCUGCUGUGAAAACCUAAGGCUCAACCUUGGGCUUGCAGUGGGUACGGGCAGACUAGAGUGCGGUAGGGGUGACUGGAAUUCCUGGUGUAGCGGUGGAAUGCGCAGAUAUCAGGAGGAACACCAAUAGGCGAAGGCAGCUCGCUUGGGACGUUA